CCUACGGGAGGCAGCAGUGAGGAAUAUUGGUCAAUGGACGCAAGUCUGAACCAGCCAUGCCGCGUGCAGGAAGACGGCUCUAUGAGUUGUAAACUGCUUUUGUACGAGGGUAAACGCAGAUACGUGUAUCUGUCUGAAAGUAUCGUACGAAUAAGGAUCGGCUAACUCCGUGCCAGCAGCCGCGGUAAUACGGAGGAUUCAAGCGUUAUCCGGAUUUAUUGGGUUUAAAGGGUGCGUAGGCGGUCGGAUAAGUUAGAGGUGAAAUCCCGGGGCUCAACCCCGGCGAGCCGUUGAAACUGGCGGUCUUGAGAUGUCGAGAGGUAGGCGGAAUGCGCAGUGUAGCGGUGAAAUGCUUAGAUAUUGCGCAGAACUCCGAUUGCGAAGGCAGCAUACCGGCGGCGAUCUGACGCUGAGGCACGAAAGCGUGGGUAUCGAACAGGAUUAGAUACCCCAGUAGUC
rnacentral:rRNA from 1 species